rnacentral:tRNA from 1 species
GCUGGCGUAGCUCAGUGGUAGAGCAGCUGAUUUGUAAUCAGCAGGCCGGGGGUUCAAGUCCCUUCGCCAGCUCCA